UACGUAGGGGGCUAGCGUUGUCCGGAAUCAUUGGGCGUAAAGCGCACGUAGGCGGCUUGGCAAGUCGGAUGUGAAAUCCCUCGGCUCAACCAAGGAAGUGCAUCCGAAACUGCUAAGCUUGAGUACUUAAGAGGAUCGCGGAAUUCCCGGUGUAGAGGUGAAAUUCGUAGAUAUCGGGAGGAACACCAGUGGCGAGGGCGGCGAUCUGGGAAGAUACUGACGCUGAGGUGCGAAAGCGUGGGGAGCAAACAGG
rnacentral:rRNA from 1 species